rnacentral:lncRNA from 1 species
GUCUCUUUCUCAGCUGUUAGUGGCUGGUUGCCAGUGCCAAGAGCACUUGGGGGUACAGAAAUUACAGACUUUUCACAGCAGGAAUUCCGUUGUUGUUGGAACUAAUGUAGUAGGGAGAUUCUGACACAGUAGGAAAUUAGGUUAUAAAACCAAAAGAUCCCUCCAAGUUUAGGAUGUAGGGAUACAUUGAAUGCCACUUGUCCAAGGGGACAAGCAGGGAGGGAACUUAUGUUGGGUUGACCAAAACAUUUGUUUGGAUUUUUCCAUAAAAUGCUACGGAAGAACCUGAAUGAUCAUUUUUGCCAAACCAAUAUGUUCUUUGUUGUAUAGUGCUUUACUGCUCAUAUGUAACUCUUACCAAUGCUUGAUUCUCAUAGGUCACCUCGGAGAAGAAAACGAAAUGAUUGUCCCUUUUUAGAACUGAGGAAAGGCAGGCCUGCCAAGUGCUCAUUAACCAGAUCAACCAUCCAGUCUCCUGACUGGAGCAUCAAACUCUGGCUGCUGACCUUCUGGAGUUGCUGACGGGGAGAUCAGUGUUCUCAACAUUCCGUAAGCGAAUUUUCCUUUAAUUACCAUAUUUCCUGUAUACUACUUGUACCUUCCACUGUGCCUGGUAUUCUUUGUGUGGUCCCACAAGUUCCAUGUCCAUGCUUAUGUACUGUGCUCUGUGCUUUAGAAGCCUGACCUCUGUGGAUAUCAUCAGUUGAGAUGAGAUUUGACCAGUGGGAGGGAAGUGACUAUAUUUCCAUAUUAAAGGGCAUAGAGUGGCCCUUGUGUACAACCACUGGUCUUCCUGGAUUCUAGGUAAUUGAUCUCUUCCCUUGCCCUUGGAGUCCUGUGGCCUGUAGCCACCUCAUGCUCUUGCUAGCCCAGGUACUUCUCCAUACCAUGGGUGUUAGUUUCCCUUUCCUUGACUGGAACAUAAAAGAGAUAUUUAGAGUCAUGUGUAAAGUGAAUGUACAGAUAUAGUCUACAUGGAAAUAAAGAGAUAUAUGAACAUAGAACUUGCAAAAUAUGUUAGCAGGUGUUUGCAGAUGACUAUUCAUAAAGAAGAAUUUAUUUCUUUACAUAGAAUUCAUCACAGAAAACACUAACUUAUUUUAAGUGCAUUUAAAAUAAGAUUUCUCUCAUUGAAAUUUAGUAUAUGCACAACUUUAUACAGUAUAUCAAAUGAUUAAAGCAGGGAGAAACUGAGAACAAAGAUUAAUGGCAGCGGGAAAAGUAAAGGGGAAAAUUUUUAAGUUUUUUUGUGAGGGCUGGCAGAUUUUGAAUACUGCUAUAGAUGACAUUUUGCUGUGUAAUGACUGUACAUCUAUCAUUUUGGUUUAGAAAUUAUACUCUUGAAUCCUUAGCCCAAAUAAGUGAUUUUAGGUGCAUGAAAUGGAUUGGUGAGAAUGCAGUUUCAUACAUCUAGGGCAUGUCUAAAAUCUAAUAGGGCAAGCACUGGAAAAACACAGCUUCUUUUGCUUUUAAGGCUCUUCAAUUUGUCAUUACCAAUUAAGGGCUGUCAGGAUUGGCUCUCCUGGUCAGGCAGAUUAUCCCAA